rnacentral:rRNA from 1 species
CAGCAGCCGCGGUAAUACAGAGGGUGCGAGCGUUAAUCGGAAUUACUGGGCGUAAAGGGCGCGUAGGCGGUUAGGAAGGUGUGAUGUGAAAGCCCUGGGCUUAACCUAGGAAGUGCAUCGCAAACCAACUAGCUGGAGUAUAAGAGAGGGUGGCGGAAUUUCCGGUGUAGCGGUGAAAUGCGUAGAGAUCGGAAGGAACGUCAAUGGCGAAGGCAGCCACCUGGCUUAAUACUGACGCUGAGGCGCGAAAGCGUGGGGAGCGAACAGGAUUAGAUACCCCAGUAGUCCCUGUCUCUUAUAC